AUUGAACGCUGGUGGCAUGCCUUACACAUGCAAGUCGAACGGUAACAGGUCUUCGGAUGCUGACGAGUGGCGAACGGGUGAGUAAUACAUCGGAACGUGCCCGAUCGUGGGGGAUAACGGAGCGAAAGCUUUGCUAAUACCGCAUACGAUCUACGGAUGAAAGCAGGGGACCGCAAGGCCUUGCGCGGACGGAGCGGCCGAUGGCAGAUUAGGUAGUUGGUGGGAUAAAAGCUUACCAAGCCGACGAUCUGUAGCUGGUCUGAGAGGACGACCAGCCACACUGGGACUGAGACACGGCCCAGACUCCUACGGGAGGCAGCAGUGGGGAAUUUUGGACAAUGGGCGAAAGCCUGAUCCAGCCAUGCCGCGUGCAGGAUGAAGGCCUUCGGGUUGUAAACUGCUUUUGUACGGAACGAAAAGACUCUUUCUAAUAAAGAGGGUCCAUGACGGUACCGUAAGAAUAAGCACCGGCUAACUACGUG
rnacentral:rRNA from 1 species